GACGAACGCUGGCGGCGUGCCUAACACAUGCAAGUCGAACGAGAUCCAUGGGAGCUUGCUCCCGGAAGAUCUAGUGGCGAACGGGUGAGUAACACGUGAGAAACCUGCCCUGGAGUGGGGGAAUAACUCGGGGAAACUCGAGCUAAUACCGCAUACCCUCGGAUGGUCGCAUGGCCGACCGAGGAAAGAUUUAUCGCUCUAGGAGGGUCUCGCGGCCUAUCAGCUAGUUGGUGGGGUAACGGCCUACCAAGGCAACGACGGGUAGCUGGUUUGAGAGAACGAUCAGCCACACUGGGACUGAGACACGGCCCAGACUCCUACGGGAGGCAGCAGUGGGGAAUCUUGCGCAAUGGGCGAAAGCCUGACGCAGCAACGCCGCGUGCGGGAUGACGGCCUCGU
rnacentral:rRNA from 1 species